GGCAUAUUCAGUUGUGAUAAGCCAGAC
rnacentral:sRNA from 1 species